GAUGAACGCUGGCGGCGUGCCUAAUACAUGCAAGUCGAGCGAACAGACGAGGAGCUUGCUCCUCUGACGUUAGCGGCGGACGGGUGAGUAACACGUGGAUAACCUACCUAUAAGACUGGGAUAACUUCGGGAAACCGGAGCUAAUACCGGAUAAUAUAUUGAACCGCAUGGUUCAAUAGUGAAAGACGGUUUUGCUGUCACUUAUAGAUGGUUCCGCGCCGCAUUAGCGAGUUGGUAAGGUAACGGCUUGCCAAGGCAACGAUGCGUAGCCGACCUGAGAGGGUGAUCGGCCACACUGGAACUGAGACACGGUCCAGACUCCUACGGGAGGCAGCAGUAGGGAAUCUUCCGCAAUGGGCGAAAGCCUGACGGAGCAACGCCGCGUGAGUGAUGAAGGUCUUCGGAUCGUAAAACGCUGUUAUUAGGGAAGAACAAAUGUGUAAGUAACUAUGCACGUCUUGACGGUACCUAAUCAGAAAGCCACGGCUAACUACGU
rnacentral:rRNA from 1 species